AGAACGAACGCUGGCGGCAGGCUUAACACAUGCAAGUCGAACGCUCGUAGCAAUACGGGAGUGGCAGACGGGUGAGUAACGCGUGGGAACGUACCUUUCGGUUCGGAAUAACCCGGGGAAACUCGGGCUAAUACCGGAUACGUCCGCAAGGAGAAAGAUUUAUCGCCGAAAGAUCGGCCCGCGUCGGAUUAGCUAGUUGGUGAGGUAAUGGCCCACCAAGGCGACGAUCCGUAGCUGGUCUGAGAGGAUGAUCAGCCACACUGGGACUGAGACACGGCCCAGACUCCUACGGGAGGCAGCAGUGGGGAAUAUUGGACAAUGGCGAAAGCCUGAUCCAGCCAUGCCGCGUGAGUGAAGAAGGCCUUAGGGUUGUAAAGCUCUUUCAGCGGGGAAGAUAAUGACGGUACCCGCAGAAGAAGUCCCGGCUAACUUCGCGCCAGCAGCCGC
rnacentral:rRNA from 1 species